UCACUCCAUCGUCACAACCAAUAACCCUAAUCCCUAAUAUUGAGGGUGGGGGUUUUCACCUUUCUUAGAUCUCACGAACAACCAACGCCGUCCAUGAAACGCCGCCGCCGUCCAUGAAACGCCGCCGCCGUCCAUCGUCCACCAUUCAACCAUGAACCACCACCGAUCAAAAUUAGUGAAGUAGAAGAUGGGAUAUGCAUGAAGUAAUGUCAGAGAAAGAUGAUGGAAUGAAUGGAGAAAGUGAGAAAGAAUUGAGAAGGAGAGAAAGAAACAUGAGGAAGAAAGAAAGAAGGAACAAGCCCCAGAAAUUGUGGUUCGAGAGAAAAUUCACAAAAGAGCCUCAGUGCUAUAGAAAGAAUAAAAAACCGUCUGAGGAAGAAAGGAAAAGUUCAAAUGAUGUAAUGGACUUUUAUGGAUGAUGUUGUGAAUGGUCUAAAUGACUAUCAAGUGAAACCAUGGCCUCUUGUAGAACAUUAGGAGAAAGUUCUAUUUUAGAUAGUUUCUAUACAAGUGUAUGCAAAUUAUCUGUAAUCAUUUACAUGAAUGAAAUUGUAUUCACGCAAAUAAUCUGUUUUGAGAACUCAUUUUACAUGAAUGAAAUUGUGCAUUUCUGUUUCUA